rnacentral:rRNA from 1 species
UACGGAGGGUGCGAGCGUUGUCCGGAAUCACUGGGCGUAAAGGGCGCGUAGGCGGCCUGAUAAGUAGGGGUGAAAUCCUGCGGCUUAACCGCAGGGCUGCCUUCUAAACUGUCAGGCUAGAGCACAGUAGAGGCAGGUGGAAUUCCCGGUGUAGCGGUGGAAUGCGUAGAGAUCGGGAAGAACACCCGUGGCGAAGGCGGUCUCUGGGACGGUACUGACGCUGAGACGCGAAAGCGUGGGGAGCGAACAGG